UACAGAGGGGGCAAGCGUUAUUCGGAAUUAUUGGGCGUAAAGGGCGCGUAGGCGGCCUGGUAAGUGGAAGGUGAAAUCCCCGGGCUUAACCUGGGAAUGGCAUUUGGGACUGCAAGGCUCGAGUGCGGCAGAGGAGACUGGAAUUCCUGGUGUAGCAGUGAAAUGCGUAGAUAUCAGGAGGAACACCGAUGGCGAAGGCAGGUCUCUGGGCUGACACUGACGCUCAUGCACGAAAGCGUGGGGAGCAAACAGG
rnacentral:rRNA from 1 species